GCUUCCUGCUUCUUUUCAGCUCAGGUCAGUUCAUCUUCAAUUUAAUCUUCUGCUAAAUGCUGUCUGUUCACUCUGUUCACAAGCCAGUUAUCUCCUCUGCCAAAUUUGGGUUGUCAGGGCUUUCCAGUUGCUCCAGUUGAACAAAAUAUGAGUCAAGUGUUCCCUGCUUUAAUCAACAUAUAUAUGAAUUUUUUUGCUUAAAAAAUGGUUUUAUUUUCAGCUCGAAAUAUUUAUGUUUCGCUAGAUGGCUUCG
rnacentral:misc_RNA from 1 species